AUUGAACGCUGGCGGCAGGCCUAACACAUGCAAGUCGAGCGGAUGAAGGGAGCUUGCUCCUGGAUUCAGCGGCGGACGGGCGAGUAAUGCCUAGGAAUCUGACUGGUAGUGGGGGAUAACGUCCGGAAACGGGCGCUAAUACCGCAUACGUCCUGAGGGAGAAAGUGGGGGAUCUUCGGACCUCACGCUAUCAGAUGAGCCUAAGUCGGAUUAGCUAGUUGGUGGGGUAAAGGCCUACCAAGGCGACGAUCCGUAACUGGUCUGAGAGGAUGAUCAGUCACACUGGAACUGAGACACGGUCCAGACUCCUACGGGAGGCAGCAGUGGGGAAUAUUGGACAAUGGGCGAAAGCCUGAUCCAGCCAUGCCGCGUGUGUGAAGAAGGUCUUCGGAUUGUAAAGCACUUUAAGUUGGGAGGAAGGGCAGUAAGUUAAUACCUUGCUGUUUUGACGUUACCAACAGAAUAAGCACCGGCUAACUUCGUG
rnacentral:rRNA from 1 species